rnacentral:rRNA from 1 species
UGGUCUUGCNGCNGNANAGUGGGAUUAGUAUNCCCCAGGUAGUCCACACCGUAAACGAUGGGUAUUANAUAUUAGGGCUUUAGCUUUANUGUUGUAGCUUACGCGUUAAAUACCCCGCCNGGGUAGUACAUAUGCAAAUAUGAAACUCAAAGGAAUUGACGGGGACCUGAACAAGUGGUGGAGCAUGUUGCUUAAUUCGAUAAUACACGAAAAACCUUACCAAGGUUUGACAUCCCUCNCAAAGCUNUAGAAAUAUAGUAGAGGUUAUCGAGGGUGACAGGUA